rnacentral:lncRNA from 1 species
AUUAUCAUAUUUGGCAACUUUUUCCAUUUUUGUGGCAACUUUUGGACAAUAUAAUGGCAACAAACGCAGAUGCUAGGUUAAUACAAUUAAACAAUACAAACAUGUACUCAAUGUUCAACUUUGCUCUCUCAAAAACAAUCAAAUUAAUAAAGCUUAGAUCUACCCAUGUAGGAGGAGUAAGUUAGUCAACUUCAUGUCUAUGUAGAUCUAGUCUUUGAAAACUUAUUUGUGCAUGUACAAUGCACAUGUAGGCCUACUUUGAAAUUCUAAAAACAAAAUGUCUUGUUUGCUUGCUAGUUAGUUGUAGACUACUGUAUAAACUGUAUUAUUUUGACUGCUUAUUGUUUUAUGCCCAUAUCUCGUCGCCUGAGUCAAAAACUCCUGUAUAGACCAAAUUUCCAAAAAUCGUUUUUUUUGCAGAAAUCGAAUACGGGGAACAAGACACACCUUGUGUCAAACGAUGAAACCUGUGCGUUAAGGAGAAACAAAGUUAGAAAAUUCCUGCUCGCAUUUUUUGCUACAUAUUGUUCGCUUAAAUUCCUGUAAGGUACCAUACAGGAAUUUGCUACACUAUUUACGUGGUCCAAGAGUCCUGUAUGCGCCAGAUACAGGAGUCUUCCAGAACAACGCCACCCUUCUUUGGGUCUCGCUGCGUUGAGUUGUAUAGUUAUGUCAUGGAUAUACAGGGGUCACAGGUCGACACAAGUAAUAGGGAAUGGCGAUGUGUAUGGCACGGACACCGAAUGAUCUAACGCUGAUGUAAUAACACUUGGACUUUAAUGUUAAACGUCAGUCAACCGCACAGCAUUGCUUCCUGCCAGCGAUUCUGACAGUGAUGUAGACGACUAUCUACCCCUUGCCGCACUAUUAAAAGCAACAAGUACAUCACGUUUCAAGGCCCCAGAUCAGCGCACUUCCUCGUCUUCGUCUUCAGCGACAGCUACAUCAACAAUCCAAGUUGAGAUUCAACACAGCACAGACCGAACAGAGGAAUCAAGCCUCUUUUAAAUUGAUGAUAUCACACCGACACGUGGGGGACUCUUUCCCACCCAACUAAACCAUUCCAGUGACCUCACGACCAUCAUUCAUCCUCUCCGAGGUGUUCUCAGAGUAUACAGACAAUGUCACCAAGAACGUGUCAAGAAAACGAUCACGUGAGCCGGACCAGAGGAAACAAAAACAUUCAACAACAGUGGGCUGGCAUACACUGGGUUCAAAGGGAAGGAACUGGCUUCAAAAGUCAUGGGCCAAGGUCGUAACAAAACUUGUCCCACAUGCCACCAGAAAAUGAUGCACAAAAGAAAUAAAAUAUAUUCUCCGACUAUUGGAAGAGUGGGAGGCAUAAACAUCAAGACAAUUCAUUGUCUCAUAUGUCAAAAGGUCAUUCCCACUUGUGUGGGAACACUGAAAGCACAAUCAAGGCGGAAAGCUUCUCUGUACUACCGUCUUUGCAGAUCUGGUAGUUGACGACAAGCCGUGUGUCUCACAUUUUUCCUGGGCACAUAACGUAUUAAACAGGAUGUUGUCUACGUGCUUUUGAGAAAAUUAUUGAUGUUGGUGUCGUUUUUGCUGAUCAGAGAGUGUCACUGUGGGCGAGGAAACAGUUCAGGGUAUAAAGGCCCAUAUCAACAGUUUCCGACAGUUCCGUCCCAUUACUGCUGUGGAUCCAGUGGCAGGAUAUACCUAGAAGAUGGAUCGAGCCUAAGCGCAAUGCACAGGCUGUAUCAAGAUUUGCAAAGAA